rnacentral:tRNA from 1 species
GGGGCUGGGGCUCAGUGGCAGAGCACUCGCCUAGCAUGUGUGAGGCACUGGGUUCAAUUCUCAGUGUCGCA